rnacentral:rRNA from 1 species
GUACGUAGCAAUACGUAUUGUAAAGUGGCGCACGGGUGAGUAACACGUGGGUAAUCUGCCCUUGAGUUUGGGAUAACCCCGCGAAAGCGGGGCUAAUACCGAAUAAGACCACGGGGACCAAAGUCCCUGAGGUAAAAGGUGGCCUCUAUUUAUAAGCUACCACUUGAGGAUGAGCCCGCGGCCCAUUAGCUAGUUGGCAGGGUAACGGCCUACCAAGGCGAUGAUGGGUAGCUGGUCUGAGAGGACGAUCAGCCACACUGGAACUGAGACACGGUCCAGACUCCUACGGGAGGCAGCGGUGGGGAAUAUUGCGCAAUGGGCGAAAGCCUGACGCAGCAACGCCGCGUGGGGGAUGAAGGUUCUCGGA